rnacentral:rRNA from 1 species
UACAGAGGGUGCAAGCGUUGUUCGGAAUUAUUGGGCGUAAAGGGCGCGUAGGCGGGAAUGUAAGUCGGGCGUGAAAUCCCCAGGCUCAACCUGGGAACUGCACUCGAAACUGCGUUUCUUGAGUAUCGGAGAGGAAAGCGGAAUUCCUGGUGUAGAGGUGAAAUUCGUAGAUAUCAGGAGGAACACCAGUGGCGAAGGCGGCUUUCUGGACGGUAACUGACGCUGAGGCGCGAAAGCGUGGGGAGCAAACAGG